rnacentral:rRNA from 1 species
CGGCGUGCUUAACACAUGCAAGUCGAACGGGAGUAUUGAAGAAGCUUGCUUUAGAGAUACUUUAGUGGCGGACGGGUGAGUAACGCGUGAGGAGCUGUCCUAUGCAGGGGGACAACAGCUGGAAACGGCUGCUAAUACCCCAUAAGCCGAGAGGUAAAGGAUCAAUCCGGCAGAGGAGGUACUCGCGUCCUAUCAGCUAGUAGGUGAGGUAACGGCUCACCUAGGCGAAGACGGGUAGCCGGCCUGAGAGGGCGAACGGCCACACUGGAACUGAGAUACGGUCCAGACUCCGUACGGGAGGCAGCAGGUGGGGAAUAUUGGCAAUGGGGGAAACCCUUGACCCAGCGACGCCGCGUGGGUGAAGAAAUCCUUCGGGAUGUAAAGCCCUGUUGUAUGGGAAGAGCGGAAGACGGUACCAUACGAGGAAGCCCCGGCAAACUACGUGCCAGCCGCUGC